AGAUUAAGUUAUUAAGGGCGCACGGUGGAUGCCUUGGCACUAGAAGCCGAUGAAGGACGUUACUAACGACGAUAUGCUUUGGGGAGCUGUAAGUAAGCUUUGAUCCAGAGAUUUCCGAAUGGGGAAACCCAGCAUGAGUUAUGUCAUGUUAUCGAUAUGUGAAUACAUAGCAUAUCAGAAGGCACACCCGGAGAACUGAAACAUCUUAGUACCCGGAGGAAGAGAAAGAAAAUUCGAUCCCCUUAGUAGCGGCGAGCGAAACGGGAAGAGCCCAAACCAACAAGCUUGCUUGUUGGGGUUGUAGGACACUCUAUACGGAGUUACAAAGGACGACAUUAGACGAAUCAUCUGGAAAGAUGAAUCAAAGAAGGUAAUAAUCCUGUAGUCGAAAAUGUUGUCUCUCUUGAGUGGAUCCUGAGUACGACGGAGCACGUGAAAUUCCGUCGGAAUCUGGGAGGACCAUCUCCUAAGGCUAAAUACUCUCUAGUGACCGAUAGUGAACCAGUACCGUGAGGGAAAGGUGAAAAGCACCCCGGAAGGGGAGUGAAAUAGAACCUGAAACCGUGUGCUUACAAGUAGUCAGAGCCCGUUAAUGGGUGAUGGCGUGCCUUUUGUAGAAUGAACCGGCGAGUUACGAUUUGAUGCAAGGUUAAGCAGUAAAUGUGGAGCCGUAGCGAAAGCGAGUCUGAAUAGGGCGUUUAGUAUUUGGUCGUAGACCCGAAACCAGGUGAUCUACCCUUGGUCAGGUUGAAGUUCAGGUAACACUGAAUGGAGGACCGAACCGACUUACGUUGAAAAGUGAGCGGAUGAACUGAGGGUAGCGGAGAAAUUCCAAUCGAACCUGGAGAUAGCUGGUUCUCUCCGAAAUAGCUUUAGGGCUAGCCUCAAGUGAUGAUUAUUGGAGGUAGAGCACUGUUUGGACGAGGGGCCCCUCUCGGGUUACCGAAUUCAGACAAACUCCGAAUGCCAAUUAAUUUAACUUGGGAGUCAGAACAUGGGUGAUAAGGUCCGUGUUCGAAAGGGAAACAGCCCAGACCACCAGCUAAGGUCCCAAAAUAUAUGUUAAGUGGAAAAGGAUGUGGCGUUGCCCAGACAACUAGGAUGUUGGCUUAGAAGCAGCCAUCAUUUAAAGAGUGCGUAAUAGCUCACUAGUCGAGUGACACUGCGCCGAAAAUGUACCGGGGCUAAACAUAUUACCGAAGCUGUGGAUUGUCCUUUGGACAAUGGUAGGAGAGCGUUCUAAGGGCGUUGAAGCAUGAUCGUAAGAACAUGUGGAGCGCUUAGAAGUGAGAAUGCCGGUGUGAGUAGCGAAAGACGGGUGAGAAUCCCGUCCACCGAUUGACUAAGGUUUCCAGAGGAAGGCUCGUCCGCUCUGGGUUAGUCGGGUCCUAAGCUGAGGCCGACAGGCGUAGGCGAUGGAUAACAGGUUGAUAUUCCUGUACCACCUAUAAUCGUUUUAAUCGAUGGGGGGGACGCAGUAGGAUAGGCGAAGCGUGCGAUUGGAUUGCACGUCUAAGCAGUAAGGCUGAGUAUUAGGCAAAUCCGGUACUCGUUAAGGCUGAGCUGUGAUGGGGAGAAGACAUUGUGUCUUCGAGUCGUUGAUUUCACACUGCCGAGAAAAGCCUCUAGAUAGAAAAUAGGUGCCCGUACCGCAAACCGACACAGGUAGUCAAGAUGAGAAUUCUAAGGUGAGCGAGCGAACUCUCGUUAAGGAACUCGGCAAAAUGACCCCGUAACUUCGGGAGAAGGGGUGCUCUUUAGGGUUAACGCCCAGAAGAGCCGCAGUGAAUAGGCCCAAGCGACUGUUUAUCAAAAACACAGGUCUCUGCUAAACCGUAAGGUGAUGUAUAGGGGCUGACGCCUGCCCGGUGCUGGAAGGUUAAGAGGAGUGGUUAGCUUCUGCGAAGCUACGAAUCGAAGCCCCAGUAAACGGCGGCCGUAACUAUAACGGUCCUAAGGUAGCGAAAUUCCUUGUCGGGUAAGUUCCGACCCGCACGAAAGGCGUAACGAUUUGGGCACUGUCUCAACGAGAGACUCGGUGAAAUCAUAGUACCUGUGAAGAUGCAGGUUACCCGCGACAGGACGGAAAGACCCCGUGGAGCUUUACUGUAGCCUGAUAUUGAAAUUCGGCACAGCUUGUACAGGAUAGGUAGGAGCCUUUGAAACGUGAGCGCUAGCUUACGUGGAGGCGCUGGUGGGAUACUACCCUAGCUGUGUUGGCUUUCUAACCCGCACCACUUAUCGUGGUGGGAGACAGUGUCAGGCGGGCAGUUUGACUGGGGCGGUCGCCUCCUAAAAGGUAACGGAGGCGCUCAAAGGUUCCCUCAGAAUGGUUGGAAAUCAUUCAUAGAGUGUAAAGGCAUAAGGGAGCUUGACUGCGAGACCUACAAGUCGAGCAGGGUCGAAAGACGGACUUAGUGAUCCGGUGGUUCCGCAUGGAAGGGCCAUCGCUCAACGGAUAAAAGCUACCCCGGGGAUAACAGGCUUAUCUCCCCCAAGAGUUCACAUCGACGGGGAGGUUUGGCACCUCGAUGUCGGCUCAUCGCAUCCUGGGGCUGUAGUCGGUCCCAAGGGUUGGGCUGUUCGCCCAUUAAAGCGGUACGCGAGCUGGGUUCAGAACGUCGUGAGACAGUUCGGUCCCUAUCCGUCGUGGGCGUAGGAAAUUUGAGAGGAGCUGUCCUUAGUACGAGAGGAC
rnacentral:rRNA from 1 species